UGUGCAGUGUUGGGGUGCCUCCAGGACCAGGGUUGGGAACCACUGAUAUAGAUCAUCCUCAUCCAAAAACAUGCAGGAACAGCGGCACCUGUGAAGUUACUAGAAAAGGUCCAUCCUGCUUGAAUCAGGACAUUAAGCAAGAACUAGUCAAAGAAUGUUUAGAGGAUGACUUUGAGUGGCCACCAAAAAAGAAAACAUCAUACACAGAUGAGAGUGGACAGACCUCAGAUCCGGACAUCUUUUGAUAUUUAAGUGUGAUAUUCUAAGUGCA